CAGUCGCCGCGGGAAUACAGAGGGUGCGAGCGUUAAUCGGAUUUACUGGGCGUAAAGCGUGCGUAGGCGGCUUUUUAAGUCGGAUGUGAAAUCCCUGAGCUUAACUUAGGAAUUGCAUUCGAUACUGGGAAGCUAGAGUAUGGGAGAGGAUGGUAGAAUUCCAGGUGUAGCGGUGAAAUGCGUAGAGAUCUGGAGGAAUACCGAUGGCGAAGGCAGCCAUCUGGCCUAAUACUGACGCUGAGGUACGAAAGCAUGGGGAGCAAACAGGAUUAGAUACCCGCGUAGUCCCUGUCUCUUAUCA
rnacentral:rRNA from 1 species